AUGAAGGACGCGUUCCUGGCUGAACUUGCUGUCGCUGCACCACCACUAGGCCAACCCUGGCUGCUGGUUGGCGACUUCAACAUCAUCUAUCAAGCUAGGGAUAAGAGUAAGCUCAACUUAAAUAGGCAGAUCAGGGGUAGAUUCACGAACGCCGUUGAUUUCGCAGGGCUUAGGGAAAUUAAGUGUAAAAAUAGGAGGUUCACUUGGAGUAGCGAGCGCGAACAACUGACUUUCUACAGCAUCGACAAAUUCCUU
rnacentral:rRNA from 1 species